UAAAUGCCUUUUUUCAAAUGU
ensembl:piRNA 21ur-4802 ncRNA